CUGCGAAAGCCGGAUUAAUACCGCAUACGAUCUACGGAUGAAAGCGGGGGACCUUCGGGCCUCGCGCUAUAGGGUUGGCCGAUGGCUGAUUAGCUAGUUGGUGGGGUAAAGGCCUACCAAGGCGACGAUCAGUAGCUGGUCUGAGAGGACGACCAGCCACACUGGGACUGAGACACGGCCCAGACUCCUACGGGAGGCAGCAGUGGGGAAUUUUGGACAAUGGGCGAAAGCCUGAUCCAGCAAUGCCGCGUGUGUGAAGAAGGCCUUCGGGUUGUAAAGCACUUUUGUCCGGAAAGAAAUCCUUGGUUCUAAUAUAGCCGGGGGAUGACGGUACCGGAAGAAUAAGCACCGGCUAACUACGUGCCAGCAGCCGCGGUAAUACGUAGGGUGCGAGCGUUAAUCGGAAUUACUGGGCGUAAAGCGUGCGCAGGCGGUUUGCUAAGACCGAUGUGAAAUCCCCGGGCUCAACCUGGGAACUGCAUUGGUGACUGGCAAGCUAGAGUAUGGCA
rnacentral:rRNA from 1 species